rnacentral:rRNA from 1 species
GCUUAUGGCCAUACCACCCUGAGCACGCCUGAUCUCGUCUGAUCUCGGAAGCUAAGCAGUGUCGGGCCUGGUUAGAACUUGGAUGGGAGACCGCCUGGGAAUACCAGGUGCUGUAAGCU